UGUCUGUUUUACUAUCUUUAGAGAACAAAUCUUCCCUCUUAUGCCAGGAUUGGAGAGGGAAAGGCAUCCAGCCGCAUGGAGUAGAGGAUGGGAUUGGGGCCCUAAGAGCUUCUUGAACAAACUUUUAAUGAAUGCUCCUCUUUGUAGCACCACCUCCACCUCCACCUCAGAGGCAUCAGGUGCCACCAAUACUUAAUUAAGAUUAUCAGGCCUUAACGUCUGUGCUGUGAGCUGGGCCGUUUCUGAGCUUUCCUUACAACUGCUUUGGGAUCCAGCAUGCUAAGCUCUGAUCCUUCAACAUCCAAAGCUUUUGCACAUCCUGUUAUCCUGACCUGAGAUGCUCUUGAGACGUCUGGCUCCUUCUCAUAUUGACAGUCUUAUCUCAAAUGGCUACUCUUCAGAGAGAUCACUGACCAACGCUAUAAGGAGGAAUCUCUCCACUGAGCUCAAUUGUUUUCCAUUGGAGGAAACUAAAACGCAUAAAGGAUUCAGGACUUGAUCAAGGUCGUAUAGCACCCUGGUUGGCAGACCAGAGCUAGAAACCAAGAAUAAUGGUCGAGAUACCACGUUUUUACAAAUUGAAGGUUUGUGACAACCCUGCAUUCAACAAGUCUAUCGGUGCCAUUGUUCCAACAGCAUUUGCUCACUUCGCAUCUUUGUGUCACAUUUUGAAUUUGCCACAGACACCCCCGUCUUCAGCAAACACUGCUCUGAUCAGUCAGCAGCCACCAACAUCGAGACAAGAUCCUCCACCAGCAAAAAGAUUACCACUCACUGGAAGGCUCCAAUGAUG
rnacentral:lncRNA from 1 species